UUUUAAUUGGAAAUUCAGAACACUAAAGCUAUUCCAGGGCAUUAGUUCCAAGCAUGCCACAUGGCUCCCCUGUGGCUGGUCCCUAGAGGACCUGUGUUCAGGCUCCUCUGCACUGCACUGCAAAUGUGCUUAGCCCCCAAGACAGUGGCUAAAAGAGAGCCAAGAGCAGGGAAGCAAAGACUGAGACCAAAACUCAAAUCCUUGCCUCUAGGCCCCAAAUCUUCGCCCCAGGGCCAGGGAAAUGUAAGCCACUGGGGGGCAAGCCUUUUCCCUUAUUCACUUCUGAAUCCCCAGCACCCAGCACAGCCCUGAACACAUAGUAGGUCCUCAAUAAGUACUUGACUGACUAAAUGGAUGAAUUGCCAGGCUAUACAAAAGAGAAUUUCCAAGCAGAGUGACCUCACCCAGACACAGGGCAUCUCAUCCUAGAUUGUGAUGGCAGAGGUGAUGGGAAGGCAAGAGUUGGCAAGCUGCAGCCCACGAGCCAAAUCCUGUUUGUGUACAGCCCACAAGGUGUUUCCAGCUGCGGCAAGGGUGUUUGGAGGAAUUUAAAUGCAAUGGCACGUCUCCUGGCAGCUGUGGUCACCCCAGCAACCUCUAACCUUUACAGACAGUCUUGGAUACCAAGUGCCCUUGUGACAGGCUUCUUAGGAAACAAAUUUCCUCAGAACUCAUUCCCCCGAGGACCCAUACCUCUUGCAGAACAGGCUUCCUAAACUUCAACUGAAAGGCAAAACUUGAAAUCCCCAUUUACAAAAAUGGCACAAACCCUACCAAGUCUUUUUACCUCACCAACCCACAACGCUAUGGGCAAUGACAAUUUAGAAUUUAAAUUGCACAAGUGAAAAAAAUUGUGCUCCAAGUGAAAGCCGAGAAUGGGAGACAGAGAUCAAGUGGACCAGGAAACGGAAGGAGAGUAUUUGGGAUGGUGAGUCAGAAACCUGGACCAGAAAAGACUCACCUGGGGAACCUGUGCAAAUACAGAAUCCCAGGCCCAGGCCCCAGAGAUUCCUGAUCCUGUAGGUCUGGGAUGAAACCUGGAUCAUUUUUAAAAGCUCUCUCAGUGAUUCUGAUAAGCACUCAAAUUUGGGAGCCAACAAUCUGAAGAAUAUUCUUUUCC
rnacentral:lncRNA from 1 species